UACGUAGGGGGCAAGCGUUGUCCGGAUUUAUUGGGCGUAAAGCGCGUGUAGGCGGCUAGGUAGGUCCGCUGUGAAAACUUGAGGCUCAACCUCAAGAGGUCGGUGGAAACCAUCUAGCUAGAGUCCGGAAGAGGAGACUGGAAUUCCUGGUGUAGCGGUGAAAUGCGCAGAUAUCAGGAAGAACACCCGUGGCGAAGGCGGGUCUCUGGGACGGUACUGACGCUGAGACGCGAAAGCGUGGGGAGCGAACAGG
rnacentral:rRNA from 1 species